UACGUAGGGCGCAAGCGUUAUCCGGAAUUAUUGGGCGUAAAGAGCUCGUAGGCGGUUUGUCGCGUCUGCCGUGAAAGUCCGGGGCUCAACUCCGGAUCUGCGGUGGGUACGGGCAGACUAGAGUGAUGUAGGGGAGACUGGAAUUCCUGGUGUAGCGGUGAAAUGCGCAGAUAUCAGGAGGAACACCGAUGGCGAAGGCAGGUCUCUGGGACGGUACUGACGCUGAGGCGCGAAAGCGUGGGGAGCGAACAGGAUUAGAAACCCUAGUAGU
rnacentral:rRNA from 1 species